AACGAACGCUGGCGGCAGGCUUAACACAUGCAAGUCGAACGCGUGUAGCAAUACACGAGUGGCGCACGGGUGAGUAACGCGUGGAUAUCUGCCUUUUGGUUCGGAAUAACUCCGGGAAACUGGAGCUAAUACCGGAUGGUUCCUACGGGAUAAAGAUUUAUCGCCAAAAGAUGAGUCCGCGUACGAUUAGCUAGUUGGUGAGGUAAUGGCUCACCAAGGCGACGAUCGUUAGCUGGUCUGAGAGGACGAUCAGCCACACUGGGACUGAGACACGGCCCAGACUCCUACGGGAGGCAGCAGUGGGGAAUAUUGGACAAUGGGGGCAACCCUGAUCCAGCCAUGCCGCGUGAGUGAUGAAGGCCUUCGGUUGUAAAGCUCUUUGGUCGGGGACGGAUGAUGACGGUACCCGCAGAAUAAGCCCCGGCUAACUUCGUGCCAGCAGCCGCGGUAAU
rnacentral:rRNA from 1 species